ACUCGCCAGGGGGCGGGGUAGUUAGCGCCAGCCGCGAAGUGCUACAGCUGCUCGGUUCCGGUUACCCCAGCGCCCAGCCUGCAGGCCCGGGCCGCCCCUGCCCGCGUGGCUCCAGGGGGCCCGGCAGCUCCCUGCCUGGAGCAGAAAAGGACCUGCGGCUGCUGUGAGCGGGGAAACCUGUGCACAGGGAGCACACGGCAGCGGCCUAGCUCUCACUCUCAGAGGACUUCCCGAGACUGGAUUAAUGAUAGUGGUGGCCUUGGCUGGCAGCCCCCAACACAGGAACUGAGCGGAAUGAAUGGACGACGCACCUUUAGCUGGAGCCUGGCAAGGGUCGAAGUCUCCCUGGCACUGAAGCUGCACAGGAUUCUUUUUGGCAUAUGUGAAGAAGUGUACCUCGGGAUACUGUAGACAGCACUCCACUAGCACCAGAAGACGGGAUUAUAGCAGCCCAGGAACUAAAAGGCCAGGUAUCAAUCCAGAAUCCUCUACAGACCUGCAUCACUCUGCCACCAGUACAACGUGUUCUGUUAUAAACAGACACAGAACAACAUCUCUGGGGUAUUACUGAAAUCUCUUCGGCAACAGGAAAAGGGCUGAAUUAAAUUCCAGCGUGUUUUCCUAGAUGUAGCCAAACAUCUUGAUUCACUGAAAGUCUCAUGUACAUCUCUGCUACAUGAUCAUUCUAUAGAUGCUGCAGUCCCUCCCCCCAUCUCCACAAAGCCAGCACCUCUGACCUCUGGACUGGUAAAGGCAAGCAAGACUGCAAGCCAUUUCCUUUCUUCACCUUGAACCCCUAUGGAAUCUGAACUGAGGUCCUUUCAGAUGGCCAGAUCCUACUCUCCAUAUGUAACUUACUGCUGAAAGAAGCCUCUGUACCAGAUCAUUGGAAAAUAAUUAACAUAAUGCAGACUUUUUAAAAGGCUCCAGAGGUGAUCCUGGCAAACAAGCCAGUAAGUCUACCUCCAGUACCAGGCAAACUGGUAGAAACUAUACUAAAGAACAGAAUUAUCAGGCACACAGAUGAACACGAGUCAAUACAGCUUUUGUAAAGGGAAAUUACACCUAACCAAUCUAUUUGAAUUAUUUGAGGGAAUCAGUAAGCAUGUGGACAAGGGUGAUCCAAUCGAUAUAGUGUACUUGGAUUUUCAGAAAGUCUUUGACAAGGUCCCUCACCAAAGUCUCUUACGGAAACUAGUCAUAGAAUAACAGUGAAAGUACUCUCAUGGAUCAGUAACUGGUUAAAAGAUAGAAACCAAAAGGUAGGAAUAAACAGCCAGUUUUCACAAUGGA